GCUGCAACUGUUUAUUAAAAACACAGCACUGUGCAAAAUCGUAAGAUGACGUAUACGGUGUGACGCCUGCCCGGUGCCGGAAGGUUAAUUGAUGGGGUUAGACUUCGGUCGAAGCUCUUGAUCGAAGCCCCGGUAAACGGCGGCCGUAACUAUAACGGUCCUAAGGUAGCGAAAUUCCUUGUCGGGUAAGUUCCGACCUGCACGAAUGGCGUAAUGAUGGCCACGCUGUCUCCACCCGAGACUCAGUGAAAUUGAAAUCGCUGUGAAGAUGCAGUGUACCCGCGGCUAGACGGAAAGACCCCGUGAACCUUUACUACAGCUUGGCACUGAACAUUGACCCUACAUGUGUAGGAUAGGUGGGAGGCUUUGAAGCAGGUACGCCAGUAUCUGUGGAGCCGUCCUUGAAAUACCACCCUUGUAGUGUUGAUGUUCUAACGUUGACCCCUUAUCGGGGUUGCGGACAGUGCCUGGUGGGUAGUUUGACUGGGGCGGUCUCCUCCCAAAGAGUAACGGAGGAGCACGAAGGUGGGCUAAUCACGGUUGGACAUCGUGAGGUUAGUGCAAUGGCAUAAGCCCGCUUGACUGCGAGAAUGACAAUUCGAGCAGGUGCGAAAGCAGGUCAUAGUGAUCCGGUGGUUCUGAAUGGAAGGGCCAUCGCUCAACGGAUAAAAGGUACUCCGGGGAUAACAGGCUGAUACCGCCCAAGAGUUCAUAUCGACGGCGGUGUUUGGCACCUCGAUGUCGGCUCAUCACAUCCUGGGGCUGAAGUCGGUCCCAAGGGUAUGGCUGUUCGCCAUUUAAAGUGGUACGCGAGCUGGGUUUAGAACGUCGUGAGACAGUUCGGUCCCUAUCUGCCGUGGGCGUUGGAAGAUUGAAGGGGGCUGCUCCUAGUACGAGAGGACCGGAGUGGACGAACCUCUGGUGUUCGGGUUGUGUCGCCAGACGCAUUGCCCGGUAGCUAAGUUCGGAAUCGAUAACCGCUGAAAGCAUCUAAGCGGGAAGCGAGCCCUGAGAUGAGUCUUCCCUGAUACUUUAAGUAUCCUAAAGGGUUGUCGGAGACUACGACGUUGAUAGGUCAGGUGUGUAAGUGCUGUGAGGCAUUGAGCUAACUGAUACUAAUUGCCCGUGAGGCUUAACCAU
rnacentral:rRNA from 1 species